AGUGGUCGAUAACGAUCUACCCCGUUAAUGGAUAACUGUAGUAAUUCUAGAGCUAAUACAUGCCUCGAAUCCGUGACCCGCGAGGGAAUCGGUGCACUUAUCAGUACAAGACCAACCGGGCGGCUCACGCUGCCCGAUCAUGUCGUGUUGACUCUGGAUAAUUUCUACAGAUCGCAGUCGGCCUUGUGUCGGCGACAGUUCUUUCAAAUGUCUGCCCUAUCAACUUACGAUGGUAGGUAACCUGCCUACCAUGGUGAUAACGGGUAACGGGGAAUCAGGGUUCGAUUCCGGAGAGGGAGCCUGAGAAACGGCUACCACAUCCAAGGAAGGCAGCAGGCGCGCAAAUUACCCACUCCCGGCGCGGGGAGGUAGUGACAAAAAAUAGCGAUGCGGGGCUCUAUGGGGAUCCGUACUCGGGAUGAGUACAGGCUAAAUACUUUAACCAGGAUCCAAUGAAGGGGGCGUGUAAUGCUACCAGA
rnacentral:rRNA from 1 species